AUCGACCGGAUGCGUGGGCGGCAAGACGAAAAAGCCGCGUCCGAGGUUGUGGACGCUUCCAGACACAAGACUGAUUUAUGCAGCAGGCGCUCCUUGGCUGCAUCUGCAAUGCUAGCUCAAGGCGAGAAUGCUUUGGGCACGUUGCCAUCUGCGUCCACAGUCAUCCUGGCACAACUGCCAUGAGAAAAACUAUUUCUCUUUUCCCAUGUAUUCAGAUAGGAGCUCCAGAGAUAAAACUGCCUCCAAGUCAGGUAAACCAUUGUAUUAAAGAAC
rnacentral:misc_RNA from 1 species